rnacentral:rRNA from 1 species
AUUGAACGCUGGCGGCAUGCUUUACACAUGCAAGUCGAACGGUAACAGGCCUUCGGGUGCUGACGAGUGGCGCACGGGUGCGUAAUGCAUCGGAACGUGCCCAGAGGUGGGGGAUAACGCAGCGAAAGCUGUGCUAAUACCGCAUGUGAUCUGAGGAUGAAAGCGGGGGACCAAGCAGCAAUGUUUGGCCUCGCGCCUCUGGAGCGGCCGAUGUCAGAUUAGGUAGUUGGUGGGGUAAAGGCCUACCAAGCCGACGAUCUGUAGCUGGUCUGAGAGGACGACCAGCCACACUGGGACUGAGACACGGCCCAGACUCCUACGGGAGGCAGCAGUGGGGAAUUUUGGACAAUGGGCGCAAGCCUGAUCCAGCAAUGCCGCGUGCGGGAAGAAGGCCUUCGGGUUGUAAACCGCUUUUGUACGGAACGAAAAGGCUCUGGCUAAUACCUGGGGCUGAUGACGGUACCGUAAGAAUAAGCACCGGCUAACUACGUG